GCUAAGAAAACCAUGCAAGCCACAGAGGCUGGCAGCCUGUAACUAAGCACUAAAAACCUCGUACACUAAGUAAGCAAUUUGGCCCACAUAGAAGCUGGCAGUCUUUAACUCAGUGUUAAAGUCAGUGUGCGCUAAGAAAUAUGAAGCAGACUGAGGCUGGCAACCUUCAAGUAGAAAUUCAUCUGGACUGGUCUGCGGCCAGAAUCAACAAUGUAAAGAGAAUACAGAAGCCAACCAGGAUAACUAAGCAUUCGAGACACUGGCCUUUUGAAAAUCUCUGGUACACAGACGAUUCCAAAUGGGAGAUACUUGAAGCAAUACUAC